rnacentral:rRNA from 1 species
UACGUAGGGGGCGAGCGUUGUCCGGAAUUACUGGGCGUAAAGCGCACGUAGGCGGAUUUGUAAGUCAGGGGUGAAAUCCCGAGGCUCAACCUCGGAACUGCCUUUGAUACUGCAAAUCUCGAGUCCGGAAGAGGUGAGUGGAAUUCCUAGUGUAGAGGUGAAAUUCGUAGAUAUUAGGAAGAACACCAGUGGCGAAGGCGGCUCACUGGUCCGGUACUGACGCUGAGGUGCGAAAGCGUGGGGAGCAAACAGG